rnacentral:rRNA from 1 species
GACGAACGCUGGCGGCGUGCCUAAUACAUGCAAGUAGAACGCUGAAGAGAGGAGCUUGCUCUUCUUGGAUGAGUUGCGAACGGGUGAGUAACGCGUAGGUAACCUGCCUUGUAGCGGGGGAUAACUAUUGGAAACGAUAGCUAAUACCGCAUAACAAUGGAUGACACAUGUCAUUUAUUUGAAAGGGGCAAUUGCUCCACUACAAGAUGGACCUGCGUUGUAUUAGCUAGUAGGUGAGGUAAUGGCUCACCUAGGCGACGAUACAUAGCCGACCUGAGAGGGUGAUCGGCCACACUGAGACUGAGACACGGCCCAGACUCCUACGGGAGGCAGCAGUAGGGAAUCUUCGGCAAGGGGGGCAACCCUGACCGAGCAACGCCGCGUGAGUGAAGAAGGUUGUCGGAUCGUAAAGCUCUGUUGUAAGUCAAGAACGGGUGUGAGAGUGGAAAGUUCACACUGUGACGGUAGCUUACCAGAAAGGGACGGCUAACUACGUG